rnacentral:rRNA from 1 species
CGGACGGGUGAGUAAUGUCUGGGAAACUGCCCGAUGGAGGGGGAUAACUACUGGAAACGGUAGCUAAUACCGCAUAACGUCACAAGACCAAAGAGGGGGACCUUAGGGCCUCUUGCCAUCGGAUGUGCCCAGAUGGGAUUAGCUAGUAGGUGGGGUAAUGGCUCACCUAGGCGACGAUCCCUAGCUGGUCUGAGAGGAUGACCAGCCACACUGGAACUGAGACACGGUCCAG